UACGUAGGUGGCAAGCGUUGUCCGGAUUUAUUGGGCGUAAAGGGCGCGUAGGUGGCGGGACAAGCGUGCGGUGAAAGCUCGGGGCUCAACCCCGAGUCGGCCGUGCGAACUGUUUUGCUUGAGCACUGUAGAGGCAGGCGGAAUUCCGGGUGUAGCGGUGGAAUGCGUAGAGAUCCGGAAGAACACCGGUGGCGAAGGCGGCCUGCUGGGCAGUAGCUGACACUGAGGCGCGACAGCGUGGGGAGCAAACAGG
rnacentral:rRNA from 1 species